CCCUUAUUAUUCAACUAUCUUUAUCAUAGUUUAACUCAUGAAGAAAAUAGUACUCCAUGAAGCAUACAAUACUAAAAAUUUAAAUAAGUCAAAAAAUAAAAACACAAAAACAUUUCUAAAGAGAAUGUUGGUUAAAUAAUAAAAAAAACUCAAACAUAACAAAUCUUAAAUGCUUAAUAUUUAUAGAGCUUGAAGAAGCCAAAAGAUACUAAAUAAAAGGUUGCAUAAUUAAAUAUAGGAUUAUAACAUUAAAAUUAGGUCAUAAGGCAUUGGUGAGGGAAGAGGAAGGAACAUUCCUUCUUAUAUUAAUUAGUUGAUGUAUUUUAAACCACUAAAGUUUAUUUGUUGGCUUAAUAAAAUAAAUGAAUGUUUCAAAACUUAUAAUUAAUUUAUUAUUAAUGGUUAUAUAUUGUUGAAUUUAAAUAGAAAGAGAAAGAGACAUGUAAUCUUUUGUAAUCUAUUAAUUAUUUUAUAUUUUUAAUAUUUUGUAAUGUAAUUAUUUUUUAAUCUCAACCAAUAUAUUAGAUAAUAGAGAAUAAAAAAAGAUGAGAAAUAAUGAUGCCACAAAUCUUAACUACUUAAUAUUUAUAGAGUUUGAAGAAAUUAAAAUGUACUAAACAAAAGGUUGCAUAAUUAAAUAU
rnacentral:lncRNA from 1 species